AACGAACGCUGGCGGCAGGCUUAACACAUGCAAGUCGAACGCCCCGCAAGGGGAGUGGCAGACGGGUGAGUAACGCGUGGGAAUCUACCUAGUUCUACGGAGCAACAGUUGGAAACGACUGCUAAUACCGUAUACGCCCUACGGGGGAAAGAUUUAUCGGAAUUAGAUGAGCCCGCGUAAGAUUAGCUAGUUGGUGGGGUAAUGGCCUACCAAGGCGACGAUCUUUAGCUGGUCUGAGAGGAUGAUCAGCCACACUGGGACUGAGACACGGCCCAGACUCCUACGGGAGGCAGCAGUGGGGAAUAUUGGACAAUGGGCGCAAGCCUGAUCCAGCCAUGCCGCGUGAGUGAUGAAGGCCUUAGGGUUGUAAAGCUCUUUCACCGAUGAAGAUAAUGACGGUAGUCGGAGAAGAAGCACCGGCUAACUCUGUGCCAGCCGCCGCCGUAACAC
rnacentral:rRNA from 1 species